CCCGCGUUCACGUCGUUCUCCACCUCAGCCUCCCGAGUAGCUGGGACUACAUGCGCCCGCCAUCACACCAGGCUAAUUUUUUGUAUUUUUAGUAGAGACGGGGUUUCACCGUGUUAGCCAGGAUGGUCUCGAUCUCCUGACCUCGUGAUCCACCCGCCUCAGCCUCCCAAAGUGCUGGGAUUACAGGCGUGAGCUACUGCGCCCGGCCUAAAAUAUAUAUUAUGUGUAUAUACAUAGAUUUUUAAUUUAAUAAUAUUCCAUUGCUUAGAUGUACCACAGUUCAUUCAUCAGUUGAAAGGCCUUUGAGAUGCUCCCUCUUUGGGCAAUUAUGAAUAAUGUCACAAUCAACAUUUGCAUGCAGAUUUUGUGUGAACAUAAGAGUAAUUUCUCUUGGACUGGCAUGCCUGCUUUGUAUGGGGAUUUUUCUCCAGCCCUCACCCUGAGAAGCUGAUGAAUUAUACGGAGGUAAAACCUACAAGAGUAUAGGGAUUCCCUUAGGACUGCCACUACCCAGGUGUUUUCAACUUUCAUGCUGAUACACCUUCAGCUUUAAGCAAUUUAUCAAUUACCAUUUAAGGGCUUCUUUAAUCAGUGACUUCAGCAGCUUCUGCAUCUGGACAACUUUGUGUAGAAUUGAUAGUAUUAUUCCUUAAAUAUUUUGCAAAUUCAAGAAUGAAGUUAUCCAGAUUUUGAGUUACAAGACUUGUGAAAAGCAUGAAAUUUUACCCUACUUGCAGGAUUGGUGAAGUGCUAAUAUUUAUUCCACUCCUGUCUUCUGAGCUCUAACCAAAUUGAGAACAACUACAAAAAAUGAGUAAUGUCAAGUAAGUCACCAGCAGAGAUCACAUUCAAGGGGAUUGGAUUACACAGAUUUUACAGAAGAAGUUGAAAUGGAGAAGGUAAGUAACCUCCCCAAGGCCACAUGACUGCUAAGGGUGGGGCCACAAUUUGAUCCCAGGUAGUCUGAAUUCCCCAAUUCCUCAAGCAUGAUUAUCAGAAGGUGUAUUAAUCUGUUUUCACACUGAUAUAAAGAAAUACCUGAGGUUGGGUAAUUUAUAAAGGAAAGAGGUUUAAUUGACUCCAUGGUUUCCCGUGGCUGGGGAGGCCUCAGGAAACUUACAAUCAUAGCAGAAGGGGAAGCAGGUCCCACUUACAUGGCGGCUGCACAGAGAGUGUGAGCAUGUGAAGGAGAAACUGC
rnacentral:lncRNA from 10 species